rnacentral:lncRNA from 1 species
CUUGGAGAACUUGUAAAAGCAUAGCUUGUUGCUCCAUCCCCAGAGUUUUGGACUCAGUAAAUCCAGGGUGGUGCCAGAGAAUUUGCACUUAUUGAAAGUUUUCAGAUGUUGAUGCUGUGAUCCAGGUAACACUCUUUGAGAAUUACUGUUGUAUAUUUUCAUUAUACUUGAUAGAAAGUAAAUAUGUUUUAAAUGAAGAAGGAAGAAUGUUGAUUACAAGGAGAGAUGGUAAACAGAAAGUAGGUUGAAAAUUAAUAUAAUUAUACCCCUCUUUUAUAUACUUGAUAUACAGCAAUCCAUAUUCACAGUCAUUUUUCCAGAGAACUCUUCAUCUGAUUUAGGAUGUUGAUAAUGUGCUAUGAAUAGUUGAGUUUGCAAAGCAUAAGAGGGAAUCCUUGUGGAAGAUAUGAAUGUCCUUUCAAAUUCUUGUCCUCCACAAUUGAGAAAGUUAACUUCUGAGUUUCUUUACUUGUUUACUUGUAAAUUGGGCAUGAACACAACUACAUUGCACUCUCCAGAAGAUGAAAGGAGAUAACAUAGAGUAGUUUUUCUCAAAAUUUUCACUACUAUCUUUCAUGGAAAAUAGAACAAGAAUUUGGAAAAACCCCAAAGAAAACAUUGGAGAGCUGUUUUAUUGAGGUGUCCUCUUUCGUAUCUGAUAAUGAAUACACAUUUUGCUUUUUUCAUCCAUAAUAGAUACACUUAUUUUCAUAUAAAAAUUUUUACAUAAUAUGACAUUUCACCAGAACUAUGUUUUGAUUUCAAGUAUGUUGUGUUUAAGAUAUUUGAAGAACAAGCACUUUGAGAAACUUAGAAAAAUGCUUUGUAAGUGGUAAUGUGUUACAUGAAGUUUCCUUAUUAUUAGAUUUUAUUUUGGCAAACAUCUGAGACAUUCAUUAGCAGAGUCACUGGCUUUGAUGUUUCAUUUACAGAUUCCUUAUGCUGAUGUUUGGAUUUAAAAUGAUCAGACACCUAAUAAAGUCUCUCCACCCCCAA